CACGUAGGGUGCGAGCGUUGUCCGGAAUUAUUGGGCGUAAAGAGCUCGUAGGCGGUGUGUCGCGUCGGCCGUGAAUACCUGCAGCUUAACUGUGGGCGUGCGGUCGAUACGGGCAUCACUGGAGUUCGGCAGGGGAGACUGGAAUUCCUGGUGUAGCGGUGAAAUGCGCAGAUAUCAGGAGGAACACCGGUGGCGAAGGCGGGUCUCUGGGCCGAUACUGACGCUGAGGAGCGAAAGCGUGGGGAGCGAACAGG
rnacentral:rRNA from 1 species